AUUGAACGCUGGCGGCGUGCUUAACACAUGCAAGUCGAACGCGAAAGAGACUUCGGUCUUGAGUAGAGUGGCGCACGGGUGAGUAACGCGUGGAUAAUCUGCCCCUAUGAUCGGGAUAACAGUUGGAAACGGCUGCUAAUACCGGAUAUUCUUAAGAAGAACUUUUUAAGGAAAGAUGGCCUCUGCUUGCAAGCUGUCGCAUGGGGAUGAGUCCGCGUCCCAUUAGCUGGUUGGCGGGGUAACGGCCCACCAAGGCAACGAUGGGUAGCCGAUCUGAGAGGAUGAUCGGCCACACUGGAACUGAAACACGGUCCAGACUCCUACGGGAGGCAGCAGUGGGGAAUAUUGCGCAAUGGGCGAAGCCUGACGCAGCGACGCCGCGUGAGGGAUGAAGGUUUUCGGAUCGUAAACCUCUGUCAGAGGGGAAGAAAGUGUGUGGUGCUAAUCAGCCAUGCAUUGACGGUACCCUCAAAGGAAGCACCGGCUAACUCCGUGCCAGCCGCCGCCGUAA
rnacentral:rRNA from 1 species